rnacentral:SRP_RNA from 1 species
UCUGGGUACAGUGGCUAAUGCCUAUAAUCCCAGCAUUUUAGGAGGCCAAGGUGGGAGGAUCACUUGAGCCUCAGAAUUCGAGGCUGCAGUGAGCUAUGACCAUGCCCACUGCACUUCAGACUUCAACCUGGGCAACAGAGGCCCUGCCUCUUAAAAAAAACAAAAGAAAGAAAAACAUGGUGUCCUCCUGGGAGUGAAAGACCAGCAGGUUGCCUACAAAGGGGUGAACUGACCCAGGUUGGAAACUGAGCAGGUCAAAACUCCUGUGCUGAUUAGUAGUGGGAUUGCACCUUUGAAUAUCCACUGCACUGUAGCCUGGCCAACACAGUGAGACCCCAUGUCU